GCAAGAAUGGGGGCGAGUCUACUUUGAAAUAUUAUAAUGACAUAUUUCGUGGACUCUACCCAUUAUUUGGGGAAUCUGAGUCAGACAAUGCUGUUAGGGAUAAUGCAGCUGGUGCAGUCGCAAGAAUGAUAAUGGUGCACCCUGAAGCUGUCCCAUUGAAUCAGGUCCUCCAAGUUUUUCUGAAAGCUCUACCCUUAAAAGAAGACCACGAG
rnacentral:misc_RNA from 1 species